rnacentral:rRNA from 1 species
ACGAACGCUGGCCGGCGUGCUUAACACAUGCAAGCGAACGGAGGAUAGGAAGAGCUUGCUCUCCGAAUCUUAGGUGGCGGACGGGUGAGUAACGCGUGAGCAACCUGCCUUUCAGAGGGGGACAACGUUUGGAAACGAACGCUAAUACCGCAUAAGAUCGUAGGGCCACAUGGUCCAGCGACCAAAGGAGCAAUCCGCUGAAAGAUGGGCUCGCGUCUGAUUAGAUAGUUGGUGGGGUAACGGCCUACCAAGUCGACGAUCAGUAGCCCGGACUGAGAGGUUGAACGGCCACAUUGGGACUGAGAUACGGCCCCAGACUCCUACGGGAGGCAGCAGUGGGGAAUAUUGCACAAUGGGGGAAACCCCUGAUGCAGCAACGCCGCGUGAAGGAUGACGGUUUUCGGAUUGUAAAACUUCUGUUCUCGUUGACGAAGACAGUGACGGUAAACGAGGAGCAAGCCACGGCUAACUACGUGCCAGCAGCCGCGGUAA